rnacentral:rRNA from 1 species
CAGUCGCCGCGGUAAUACGGAGGGGGCUAGCGUUGUUCGGAAUUACUGGGCGUAAAGCGCACGUAGGCGGCUUGGUAAGUUAGAGAUGAAAGCCUGGAGCUCAACUCCAGAAUUGCCUUUAAGACUGCCGAGCUAGCAGGUGAGAGAGGUAAGUGGAAUUCCGAGUGUAGAGGUGAAAUUCGUAGAUAUUCGGAAGAACACCAGUGGCGAAGGCGGCUUACUGGCUCAUACUGGACGCUGAGGUGCGAAAGCGUGGGGAGCAAACAGGAUUAGAUACCCCAGUAGUCCCUGUCUCUUAUAC